CCAGACGAGAAUGCCAUAAAUAAAACUUAGAAGAAGACAAAUUCAAACGAAAAGAUGAUAAAUCAACAGUAGGAGCUGCAACAUGUGGAAGCUUCAGUUCAUCCAAAAUAUAAAGCCCCCCCUGUCUAUGGCCUGUCCCAAUCAGCCUCUUCGAUUGAGGAUCCUGCACAUAACAAUGAGUUGAAGAAAAUAAGAUUGAGAAACCAGAAUCACACAGUUGACUAACAGAAGCAAGACUUAAAGUGAGGUUAGGUAUAUAAUAAACAUCAGAGAGAGAUAGUUUAGGUGUAGAAACAGAACCAACUCCUUCCAAUAACAUAGGAGUUCCAUCAGCAGUCAUAAC
rnacentral:lncRNA from 1 species